CCUAAUGAAGAUCAGAAAUAUUCAAGCAGAAACCUUCAGCUUCCAUGAAGAUUGAAAUCAUUCUGCCAUGAAGACCUAACAACCUUCAAAGACAAAUUGAAAAUGGUUGCCUGCUAAUCUUGAUUUGGAAGUAGAGGCUCGAGGAAAUGGACAAGGAAUACUAGAGCACAGGGAAAGACGACCACGGGUUGUGACCUAUUACAAUCAGCUGCAUGAGGUGGAAGAGAAAAUGCCCUGCAAGCACUUUGAUCUCAACGUCACUUUUGAAGGAUCCAGAGCAGGGCUCUAGGACCCAGAGACGUCAGGAUGGUGGUUCUUGAUAUCAGUCUACCAACUGGAUUCACCCCAGAAAACUCUGACCUGGAGAUGCUGUCCAAUUCAGUGCAUCGUUACAUCAGUAACUUCCAGAUUGUAGACAACCUGAGUGACAGAGGCUCCCUGAUCAUUCACCUGUUCAAAGUAACAUCACCGUAUUUAUAAUUAUUAUUCUAUAUCAUAUCAUUUUAUGUUAUUCAUAUGCUUUUCUUUUUUUCCAAGAAGUAGGUUUCUCAAUGCUCAGUAAAUAAGUCAUUAUGACCACAGUCAACAAUCUGAGGCAGUUUUAGGCUAUUACACAAAACCAGCUUAUUGGUACCAAAGCCACGGUUCAGAACUCAGACUUGCUAAAUCAGUGUUGGUGUCGUGCAGUGUAGGGCUGCAGCCAGAGUACUGACGAUAGUUAGCAAGAGAGAUCAUAUUUCUCCUAUGCUGGUUUCUCUUCAUUGGCUUCCUGUGAAAUGUAGAAUAGAAUUCAAAAUCCUUCUUCUGACAUAUAAAGCUCUUAACAACCAAUCUCCAUCAUAUCUUAAAGACCUGAUAGUACCAUAUUAUCCUAGCAGAACUCUUCGCUCUCAGACUGCAGGCUUACUUGGAGAAGUGACCUGUAACUUCUCUCUAAAAGUAGAAUGGGAGGCAGAGCCUUCAGUUAUCAGCUCCUCUCCUGUGGAACCAGCUCCCAGUUUGGGUUCCGGAGGCGGACACCCUCUCUAAUUUUAAGACCAGGCUUAAAACCUUCCUUUUUGACAAAUCUUAUCGUUAGGACUGACUGGGGGACCCUGAGGGGGUCAGCUGGAGUCUUCCUCUUGGACGUCCCUUAGUUCUGCUGCUAUAGGCCUAGGCUGCUGGAGGACCUCUCUGGAUGCACUGAGCCCUUCUCUAUCUAGCAUUAUAUACAAUGGUAUACCAUAAAUAUAUAUACCAUUAUUGCAUUACACUCACUCUGUUUCUCCCUGUGUCCUUUCGCCGAGUGUCCCUGAUCCCAGAGCUGGAUGCUUCAGAUCUGUGGUGGUUCUCCCACCAACUGGCCUAAUCUCCAUCUGUGGGAUGCUGCUGCUGCUGACCUUCCUCCAGCCCACUGCUUCCAGCUGCCCAUUUCCAUCAAUCUACUCUGCAUCACCCUCACUAUACUUGAUUUGCUCGUCUACAUAUUUUUGAAUUUACCACCAGCUAUAUAUGUAGUAUAUUUAAUGCCAGAGCCAUACACCAUAGCAGUAAACUAUAAUCAGUUUCCAGCCCGGAGGGAUAUAUGCGCAGAUUUUUUUAAAUACCAUGUAGAAGACUAUAUACAGGAAGAUGAGGUAUCAGUUCUUGCACAUAGAUAUACAACGGUCCUUUAUUACUCCCCAGGUCAGGGGAAAUUUCCAGUGUUAGAGCAGCAAAAAUCUUUCAGAGCAGCACUAACUACAGUUUACUACAGUAAAGAUAAUAAUUAUAAUAACAAUGAUAUAUAUAUAUACAAGAAUGAAAAAUGAAUAAAUACCGUAUUACUACACUAUAAGUGACAUCAGCAUAAAGUGGCUUGUGGAAUACAUGUAAUUGUAAAAGUGCAGAAAAUGAUUUUCUCAAAACAGGUGAGUCCUGUGAAUAUGACCAAAAUAUGAGAUAAAACUACCAGAAACAUGUACAAAACGACCAAAAUAUGAUUGGUUGAUAAUGUAUCAGUGUUGUUAUUGAUUAUUGAUCGGUUGCAGGGACAGAGAUUUGUGUCUUGAGUCUCUGCUGUCAUCUAAUCUCUCUCAUGUAAGAUCAUGUCACAGGAGGGGGCGCUACUGACCUCUUGUGGACACAGGCGGUAACGACACGACAUUAUUACUAACUGUAUAGCUGGCGACAUUACAGGUGAGCAGCACUUCCCGUUCAUCUUCAACGUAAAAGCAUCUUUCUUUAGUGUACAUUUUAUGUCAAACGUAUUACUAAGCGAUUUUGGUCGAUUCAGAAGGAUCUCCGGUGUAAACCAAGUCGUAUUUGACGACAGCUAGCUUCUCCACUUGCUCCGAUUACUUUUGUUGUAGUCUGAGUCACGUCCAAACAGGAAAUGAAUCCACAAUGUAGCUAAUGACAAUCGAUAGCUGCGUCUGUGAUGGCAGCGUUAGCGAGCUAGCAGCUAAUCAGAAGCUAGCGACAAGCUAACUCCAGCGCUACCAGCAGCGUCUCUUUAAAAGAUGCUGAUCACGAUAUCGGGCUGAAACAUUAGACCCGGGACAGGAAACGGAGCUAGAGCUCUGUGUCUUGGUGAGAAUUGAUUUUAGAACUACGUGUGUUAAGGUAUUAGUCCGUGUCAUAACAAACCCUCGUUAGCACUUCCGCCAGCUCGGCUAACACUUCCGGUCACGAAUGCAUUUGUACAUUAGCUAUAACGUGUUCAUUUUUGAACGUAUAGUGACAACAAACACAAUUUGAGACUGUCGACAAGCUAGUGGCCCUUAAAUAGAUUUUGUUUCAUACUGCAAAUUCUUCUGAGUGUCACAAAACCACGUUUUAGCCUAAGAGCAUUACGAUAGUUUUACGUUGAAACAGGAAGUGUUGCUCUACUGUAAUGUCGCUAGCUUUGUCUCAAAUAAUAAUAGUGUCGUUACCGCCUGUGUCCGCCAGAGGGCAGUAAUGUGUACAGUAAAGAUUUAGUGACUUUAGGGGUCAUUUUGAAUGCUUUUUAUGGCUAUUUUUGCUUCAGUUUGUUCAUGUUUUGUCUCAUAUUGUUACUUUAGUGACUUUAGGGGUCCUUUUGCAUGUUUUUAUGGUUAUUUUUGCUUCAGUUUGUUCAUUUUGUGCCUCGUAUUGUUACUUUAGUGACUUUUGGGGUCAAUUUGCAUGUUUUUAUGGAUAUUUUUGAUUCAGUUUGUUCAUUUUUUGUCUCAUAUUAUUACUUUAGUGACUGUAGGGGUAAUUUUGCAUGUUUUUAUGGCUAUUUUUGAUUCAGUUUGUUCAUUUUUGGUCUCACAUUGUUACUUUAGUUACUUUAGGGGUCAUCUUGCAUGUUUUAAUGGCUAUUUUAUUAUUCAGUUUGUUCAUUUUUUGUCUCAUAUUAUUAUCAUAGCAGAGGCUCAUGGGUAACGUGGUUCUGAGGCAGCCAGGAGCAGAGGCUCAUGGGUAACGUGUCUCUGAGCCAGCCAGGAGCAGAGGCUCAUGGGCUAACAGUUCCCACCUGUUGCCAGCCUUUGUGCGAAGGUAAGCUAACAGUUCCCACCUAUUUCCAGUCUUUGCUAAACUAGGCUAACAUUUCUAACCUGUUUCCAGCCUUUGUGCGAAGCUAAGCUAACAGUUCCCACCUGUUUCCAGUCUUUGCUAAACUAGGCUAACAGUUCUAACCUGUUUCCAGUCUUUGUGCUUAGCUAGGCUAACUGUUCCACCUGUUUGCAGUCUUUGCUAAACUAGGCUAACAGUUCUAACCAUUUUCAGUCUUUGUGCUAAGCUAAGCCAACAGUUCCACUUGUUUCCAGUCUGUGUGGUAAGCUAGGCUAACAAUUCUAACCUGUUUUGUCUUUCUGCUAACCUAGGCUAACAGUUGUAACCUGUUGUGUCUUACUGCUAACCUAGGCUAACAGUUCUCACCUGUUGCCAGCCUUUGUGUGAAGGUAAGCUAACAGUUCCCACCUGUUUCCAGUCUUUGCGAAACUAGGCUAACAGUCCUAACCUGUUUCCAGUCUUUGUGCUGAGCUAAGCUAACAGUUCCACCUGUUUCCAGUCUGUGCGGUAAGCUCGGGUAACAGUUCCACCUGUUUCCACUCUGUUAAACUAGGCUAACAGGUGUAACCUGUUUCCAGUCUUUGUGCUAAGCUAGGCUACCAGGUCCACCUGUUUCCAGUCUUUGCGAAACUAGACUAACAGUUCUAACCUGUUUCUAGUCUUUGUGCUAAGCUGGGCUAACAGUUCCACAUGUUUCCAGUAUUUGCUAAACUAGGCUAACAGUUCUAACCUGUUUCCAGUCUUUGUGCUAAGCUAGGCUAACAGUUCCACCUGUUUGCAGUCUUUGCUAAACUAGGCUAACAGUUCUAACCAUUUUCAGUCUUUGUGCUAAGCUAAGCUAACAGUUCCACUUGUUUCCAGUCUGUGUGGUAAGCUAGGCUAACAAUUCUAACCUGUUUUGUCU